rnacentral:rRNA from 1 species
GUGCCUGCAGCCGCGGUAAUACGUAGGGUGCAAGCGUUAUCCGGAAUCACUGGGCGUAAAGCGUGCGUAGGUGGGAAUUUAAGUGUGAUGUUAAAUCGUGUGGCUCAACCAUAUCGAUGCAUCGCAUACUGGGUUCCUAGAGGACGGCAGAGGCAAGUGGAAUUAGCAGUGUAGCAGUGAAAUGCGUAGAUAUUGCUAGGAACACCAAUGGCGAAGGCAGCUUGCUGGGCCACUCCUGACACUGAGGUACGAAAGCGUGGGGAGCGAACAGGAUUAGAAACCCCCGUAGUCC